rnacentral:rRNA from 1 species
AACGAAGUCUUCGGACUUAGUGGCGGACGGGUGAGUAACGCGUAAGAAUCUACCUAUAGGUUCGGGACAACAGUUAGAAAUGACUGCUAAUACCGGAUAUGCCUUCGGGUGAAAGUUUUAAUGCCUGUAGAUGAGCUUGCGUUCGAUUAGCUAGAUGGUGGGGUAACGGCCUACCAUGGCGACGAUCGAUAACUGGUCUGAGAGGAUGACCAGUCACACUGGGACUGAGACACGGCCCAGACUCC